GCCCCUGGACUUUGGAAGCACAUUUCGGGGCCCUACCAGUUCUGGAACUCCCUUUCUCAGACUAGCAGGAAGGAAAAGUUGGAAGAAAUUGUGGAAACACGCCUCACAACCUGUCUGCCUCCAACUUUAGGAAGCACAGUGACCAGGGGUAGGUGUUGCCAGUUUAGAAGUAUUUGAUGACGCAAUGUGAAAUGAUGACAAUCAUC